AUUGAACGCUGGCGGAAUGCUUUACACAUGCAAGUCGAACGGCAGCACGGGAGCUUGCUCCUGGUGGCGAGUGGCGAACGGGUGAGUAACGCAUCGGAACGUGCCCAUUUGUGGGGGAUAACUAGUCGAAAGAAUAGCUAAUACCGCAUAAGCUCGAGAGAGGAAAGCGGGGGAGCGUAAGACCUCGCGCAGAUGGAGCGGCCGAUGUCCGGUGAGCUAGUUGGUGAGGUAAAGGCUCACCAAGGCGACGAUCGGUACCUGGUCUGAGAGGACGACCAGCCACACUGGGACUGAGACACGGCCCAGACUCCUACGGGAGGCAGCAGUGGGGAAUUUUGGACAAUGGGGGCAACCCUGAUCCAGCCAUUCCGCGUGUGGGAAGAAGGCCUUCGGGUUGUAAACCACUUUCGGACGGGAAGAAAUCGACGUGACGAAUAAUCGUGUCGGAUGACGGUACUGUAAGAAGAAGCACCGGCUAACUACGUGCCAGCCGCCGCUGUAAGAC
rnacentral:rRNA from 1 species